AAACGUUUCUGCAAAGUCUGCCACUGAUAAACACAGAAUUCAAGCAUCUGAGGUUACACUUCCAGCUAGUACACAGGCUAUUGAGUUUUUAUGUUGAAUAGCCUCGAACCACGUGUGGCCGUGUAUACAAAGUAUAUGCAGCGAUUAUUCGAUUUUGUUUUUGAAUGACGCUCAGAGUUAAAUAUGAAAUCACUAGCAAAUAUGAAAAGUUAAUUACGUGCCAAUUGCAUACCUUCAACAACUUUGUAGAGGAAAACUCGAAUCAUGCAUGUUUAACUGUUACCUCGUCGAAGUGAAAUGAUCGAAGAAAAUUGACACACUGUUGCUAACUGGGCCAAUUCUCGCGCCAAUUUCUGUUCUUGUUGUCGGAUCUCUAAAUCUAAUGAUUAUUUGUUUUAUACAAAAAUAGAAAAUCAAUAAAAAUUUUUAUAAAAGGUAA